rnacentral:rRNA from 1 species
UACGGAGGAUGCAAGCGUUAUCCGGAAUGAUUGGGCGUAAAGAGUCCGUAGGUGGUACAGCAAGUCUGUGGUUAAAGCGCGAAGCUCAACUUCGUAAAGGCCAUGGAAACUGCUGAACUAGAGUGGGAUAGGGGUAGAGGGAAUUCUCGGUGUAGCGGUGAAAUGCGUAGAUAUCGGGAAGAACACCGGUGGCGAAAGCGCUCUACUGGAUCUUAACUGACACUGAGGGACGAAAGCUAGGGGAGCGAAAGGG